CACGUAGUUAGCCGGGGCUUCCUCCUCAAGUACCGUCAUUAUCUUCCUUGAGGACAGAGCUUUACGACCCGAAGGCCUUCAUCGCUCACGCGGCGUUGCUGCAUCAGGCUUUCGCCCAUUGUGCAAUAUUCCUCACUGCUGCCUCCCGUAGGAGUUUGGACCGUGUCUCAGUUCCAAUGUGGCCGAUCACCCUCUCAGGUCGGCUACUGAUCGUCGCCUUGGUAAGCCGUUACCCUACCAACUAGCUAAUCAGACGCGGGUCCAUCCUGUACCGCAAAAGCUUUGAUACUUCUACCAUGCGAUAAAAGUAUUUUAUCUCGUAUUAGCAUACCUUUCGGUAUGUUAUCCGUGUGUACAGGGCAGGUUACCCACGCGUUACUCACCCGUCCGCCGCUCUUACCGAAGUAAAUCGCUCGACUUGCAUGUGUUAGGCACGCCGCCAGCGUUCAUCCUGAGCCAGGAUCAAACUCU
rnacentral:rRNA from 1 species